rnacentral:lncRNA from 1 species
CAUGUUGAGAAUAAUUAUCAAUUAAAUCUACCCGUCUUAAAAUAUGCUCUUAUUCUUGAUCGAUCUACGUUAAUAAUUAAAUAAAAUCUGCUACUUUGAAUUAGUUGACCUAAUUAAACCCUGCUCGAAAUUUUAGUUUCUGUAUUAAAUAAAUGUUUGGCCACCUAAAAUCAACUGAGAUAAUAUAUAGAUUAUGCACUAUGGCGUAUCUUUCUGCCCUUUCAUUAAUAUUAUUAUUUUGUUUGCUUGCCUGUUUGUAUGCACACACUUAGCAUGAAAUCGUUUCACCAUUACUUGUGUUUGCCGGCAUG